rnacentral:rRNA from 1 species
GCAACCCCAGGCAGGCGGGACUA